GGCUAGACUUUAUAGGCUUGUACUCUAAUUGUUGUCAAUCUUAAAUUUUUUAAAAACAUACUUUUGAUUUUAUGGUGAAAUUGAAGAUUUUAUUUAUAUGUAUUUAAGAUUAUAAAAUUUAAUGAACGAACCAGAUUAGUACCUGGUUAGAUAAAAAUUAAAAGGGCAGGAGUAAAGUUGAAUUUAAACUGUAAUAAUAUUGGCAGGCUUUUAAAUUAUCUUUGGAGGCUGAGUAGUAAUUGAGAGCCCUCAUUUACAACUCUUGUUUUAGGCUCAUGUAUGAUCGUUUAUUUUAUUCUUAAGGAUUGUAAUUUUAGUUUUUUAUCUGUUAAAAUAGAUAUAUACUUGGUUAAUACAGGAGGUUAAUUUGGCCUACAAUGUUAUAUUUUUUGGAUAGUAUUGGUAGUCA
rnacentral:rRNA from 1 species